UGUUUGAUUGUUAUAAGAACUUCAUAUAUAACAAAAUUAAGAACUGAACUUUAUUGAAUGUUAAUAAUCCACUUCAAUUACAAAAUCAUUUGAAUAAGAAAGAUUACAUGCGGAUAGCAACAAUACCUAUUGAUCUAAAUCUACAUAUCACUGCAUUCUCAUUGCUCCUUGAGGAACUUUGAGCCAUGUUCCAUUCUUUGCUGGUCGAAUACACCGUGUAGCAGCUUGCAAGCUUGUUUUCCAGAAUGUCUUCUUGCUCUGCCAAUUCUCCAGUUGACUCGAGAGUUCUUUUGAGCCAAAGCUGCAACUAUGAUCUCCCUGAGAUAAUCUGACCAGUGCAAAGCAAAAAAACCAGUAGUUGAGGAGCACUUGAAUCUAUCAUCCAAACAUCAUUCUGCUUUCUGUUAUUGUCAAUAACAUAAGACAAUGUAUGCAACUAGGAAACAAAGAAGUUGGACCAAAAUGCCUAGGGCAAUAAUACUUAUAUAACAACACAUCAAAUACUUAACUGCCAAUAAUAGAGUAUUGACCCCACUUUUUUUAUUUAUUUGAUCUGAGCAAGAACCUUAUACCAAAAAAAUCUGAAGCCAAAUACAGAACAAUACAUCUAUGACAUAGGUAAGUUGCCCCUUUUUUUCCUUUUUCAUCUUUUGGUCAGGAUGUAGGCAUGCACUUUCUCUUUUUCUCUCAAAAAAGAAGAAGGAUGUAGGCAUGCAGAGAUUGAAGGAAAUAUAACACUAGAGAAGCACAACAGAUCAAGCUAAUACACAUCAAAUAAAACUCGCCUUUUACUUAUAACUUAAUACCAAUUAACUUAUACUUGGAACCUGCCGAGUCCAAUACCAGAAUCUAUGGUAGAACAAGUUUGAUAGAAUUUACCAAUAACUUUUGACUUAUGAAUUCAAAGACAACCCAACACUUUAUAUUCAGUCCUUAACGAUCAAGAACCAAGCUUACAUGAUUAAGGUAUUAAUUCAAUACCUUCCAACUUCUUUGAACUACUGCUCUUGUGACUUAAAAAGAUGAUCUUGUCAUCUAGCAAACUUUAAUUACUAUCACAACAUCAAUAUGCUAUAACAAUACACCCAGACCCAUACUCAAAAGAUCACAACCAGUCUUCCAAAGUAUGAUUAAAUGGGUAUAUACCUUUAAUUGAAAGCAACCAGAGGAUGGCCUUAAGUUUCUGGCUUCCUUCACAGCAACAAACAGAGUCCUCCCGUGGUUCACCUCCUCCACCACCUCACCAAUUCUGAUAACAAGUAUACCCAAACCUCAAAUUCAAUCUCAAUCCAUUUAAAUGAUCGAGAAAAUGACCCAAAAGGUAUCCAAAUACCCAUGUACAUGCCGAAAUGUGUAAUGCACCUUUGACUUAAAAACUCUAAUUGACAAAAGAAAAUUUGGUCAAAAUCCUAAUAGAUUUCUACAUAAGAAUAAUACUAUGGGGAGUAAUUGAAUUACAACGUAGGUUGUAGUAAUAACUAAACAUCCUUUCAUGCAGAAAAAAGUUGUACAAGCCCUGCAUAGGAACGCCGAAGAACUUCUCUUGUUGAUUUAAAUUGACACCCGGGACAAAAAGUGAAAAAUGAAAAAGACAACUGAUACAAAACUGAUGGUUUACAGAUCAAUGGCUUACUAAGUCAGAAAAAGAUAACUUUUAAUUAUUAUUGGGACAUGGACAUUGUAAAAAGGAUGAGUAAUACAUGAUUUUCUUAUACGACAACCGGAUCACUACCUUUGUGUCUUAGUAGGUAGCCUGAUGCAAAAUUAACAGAGUUAUAAGUUAAGUAUUGAAACCACAUUGGCCAAGUAUUGAUACCGACAUGGCAAAUGCUCAUUAUUCCUACUACAUAUUUGUGCAUUGUUCUGAUUUAUCUAUUGUAUUCAAGUACAUGAAUGUCUAAAUUGACUAUCAUCUAGACAUAUACUGGUUCCCUAGAAAUAUAUAGGCAUUCGUGUUGCACUAUAUAUAAACAAAACCAAAUAUGGAAGAAACAAAACAAGAAAAUGAUGACCCGAAGUGGAAAAAUUGUGCCUCUGUAGAAAUCUAACGGGAUGUAUAAAUGAGGAGGCAAACACAUUGGUAAUAAAAGUUCCUAUAAACCACCUGAUCAACUUUAGCCUUCGCAGAGAUCUAAACUUGUUGAGCACUUCAUACUCAUAAUUGAGAACUUCGCAGCUUUGAUUGUCGUUGAAGAAGCAAGCAAGGGCAGAAGCGCCGGAAGGCAGAAAAACAACCCAGAAAAGAGAAAAAUAAAUCCAACCAAAUACGAAAGCUAAACAUAGCGGAAUGUCGAGAAAUAAGAAACCCCAAAUCUAUAACCCAAUUGGUAGAAAUCCCAAAUCGUAAACCUUAGAUCCCAAAACAAAGAAAUGUCAAAAACCCUAACUGCUAGCAACGAUUUACGAAGAGGAACAAUCACAAAUACACAACUCAAAAACCCCAAAUUGUAAACCCAGAUCCCAAAACAAAUCAAAUUCGAAAACCCUAGAUAGAGAGUCUUACCAGCUAGCGAGGAGUAGAGCUAUGAAUGAGAGCUCAGAGUCAUCGAGAGGCGGAGAGGGAAGAAACGUGUUCUGAGAGAGGGAGAGAAAGUGGCGUCGAGAGAGAAAAGAGAUGGUCUUCUUGAUGAACUCCACAGAUUCGGCAAAUGAAGAUGUGGAUGGUGAAUUGGUGGGUAGGAGGGCUGACGGCAGCGGAGAGAGGGUUGGGAGGGCUGACGGCAGCGGAGAGAUGGUUGAGCGUCGAUGCAGGAGCCCCUCUCGCCUCAGUCUCUCUUUCCCUCUCGAACUGAAAUGGAAGAGGCUGGGGUUUCUUACCCUCGUAAGUGUUGACCCAACGGUUCAGAUGAGAAAAGAAAGGAUGUAGGGCUAGGAUUAAUUGUUGCCUUUAAAAAUUAGAAAUAGUUGACCAGCAUCUUGCUAACCCCUAACCUCUAAACUUAGCUUUUUUUUAUUCACCAAAGAAUUAAAACCUACUAAUGUAAUACAUGUUUACUAGCUAGGUUACAUCUAAACGUAUAUCAUUAUAAACCAAUUAUAUGGACGAAAUAAAAUUUGCAAAAUUUGAUUGUACGAUGUGAUCACAAUAGUCAAUUAUGUGUACAAUAGCAAACUUACCUAUUUUCGAUAACGUUUGGGUCUCAAUCGCAUGGGUCAACUUUAUUUACGUUUAAACUUCCAUGUGCUUCCUUAUGAGGAACUAUAUAAUCGGUUUAUAAAUAUGUCCAAAUUUUUACAAGGAUCAGUUUCGCCAAUACUCAAUGAGAGUUUGAGUAUUGAGGAAUCAAAAAUAUAAGUUUCGGUCGAAGUAGAUAAGAGCG
rnacentral:lncRNA from 1 species